UCAAAAAUGAAUUCUGAUCAUUUCUGAAUUUUCAUUGGGCAAUUUAGUCUUUAACACUUAAUGUAAUUAGUGAUAUGAUUGGAUUUAGUUUGUCCCCUCUGAAUUUUAUUCCUCUCAUUCUCUUUCCUUCUUUCUUUUGAAUUGUUUGAGUAUUUAACUUGUCUGUUGGCUUGUUAGUGAUACCACUUUGCAUUAUUUUAAUCUAUGCCCCUAAACUAGUUCCUUCUAUAUCAGUCAGGGUCCAAUCAGGAGAUGGAAACGAUAGCAGUUAUUGAAUAGAGAGAAUUUAAUAUAAAAAAGUGUUACCUAGGUAACUGAAAGGGUACAAAGGGGACUCUAAGAUAUCAUGAAAGUAGGAAGCAUCUGUCACUCUUAGGGCUGAGAGAACAAAGAGAAGAGAUUGUAAUCAUUAAAACUUAGAAGAUUAAAGGAGAAGCCCCAUGGAGGUGAAAGUCAGACCUCUGAGGGAAGGUGAUGCUGGGCUGGUACCGGUGUCUCUGUGUUAGAAAAAGGCUGGAACCCAGACUCUGAGGAGGAAAGCAACUGCUGGCUGGCAUGUAGUGAUGUCUUGGGAUGGGGGAAAGGAGAUGUAGAGAGUCUGGUUCUGUGAAUUAGAAAAACUGCAAACGGGAUUCAGUUGCUGCUACCUGAAAGAACUGCCACUGUUGAGACGAAGAAAUAUUUCUGGGUUGAUGCUCAGGGGAACAACAAACAGACAGGAAACCCACGGGAGGCAACAGGUAGCAGACAGGAAGGAGCAAGUCCUUGCUCCCCCUCCAGCCUUUGUCUUCUUCUAGCACUCCCAAUGAACAACUUUACAGGAAGUCAGCUGGCAAAGCAAAAACGAUGUUUGCAGGGUUCCAGCCCAGCACCACGAAGUGGAGAAUGAAAGUGGGGGCCUGGAGCUCAGAGAUAACCUAACAACUCCUCCUCCUUCCUAUGGUGUAGGAUGUCGUCACAUCUCUUUUAUUUAAAAGAUUCCUUCUCUUGGACCUGCUUGUUCUGCCCAUCUUUUCUCUCCUCCGUACUUCUUGUCUCUUGUAACAUUUUAUUAUUAGAAAAUAUCACAAAGCCCAUCAGAGGGGAGAUAGUAGGUGCUCAAAAAUGUCUGCUGGAUUAAUGGCAAUAUAAGAGAAUAAAUGAUAAGUGUCAAAUGAGUAGUGCAGACUCUCAUUGCCAUAGAGACUCAGGGGAGGAGGCCGUGAACUUGGGUGGCCCCAAAGGUUUCACAGAUGAGAUGGGUCUUGAGACAAAGUAUGAUAAAUGGGAACAGUUUAAAUACAUGGAGAGAAGGAUGAGGCAUUUAAGGGGGAGGGUACAAAGACUUGGAGGUAGAAACGGGUAGUUGAUUUUGGGAGAAAGGCAUGGCUUCCUUUAGGAGUUCGAGGCUAGCUUACAGAUAGAGGCCCCUUAACAUCUGGCUAGGCUGUGGCCUCAUAAAGGAGUAAUUGGGACAUUGUCAUGUAAGCGCUGAGGAGGAGUCAUUGAUGGUAUAUUGGGCAGGAGAGGGUGGUGAGAAAGACGGUGCUGAAUUAGUGCUGUGCAGGGUGGUGGGUGAUGCUUGUUGCUCAGGUCUUAAGCAUAUCCAUGUAGCAGAAUGAUGCUGCUGUUGAUAGGAAUCAGUAAAUCAGGAAGAGAAGCAAGUGUUUAAGUUUUUUAAUGGUUCUGGAAUUUUGGUUAUACUGAAUUCAAUUUGAGAGCGCACAUUUAGAAUCCGGGAAGUACAGAAAGAGCCAGAGAAUGAGUUGGGAGAAGUCUGAGAGGUUGGAGGAGCAUCCAGAUGGUAUUGGAAAUGGGGAGGGGAGGAUUUCAAGUCAGCACAUGGCCGUCCUUGCCUCUGCAAGUGAAGGUGACAACUUCGAGAGAGCCUCUGUUAUGCAUACAUGUGAGAUGGCUUCUGUUUCUUGCUUUGGCUUCUGAACUUUGCUAAAGCACUUCUGCUGUCUUCAGGAGUAGACAAGACUCCCCGACCGGAGCCUAGGAAAGCCAGCCUCUCUCCCUACUCAUGUAACCUCUGUGAACCGCGCGGGCUGCCAGGACUCACAGGCGACGGUGUGAAAUGCGACCAGUCAACUCUCAGCUAACUCGCUUCUUGUACAUCACCCUAAAAAUAAGGAAAAGCAGCUGCGGGAGAGAUUUCAUCAAUCAUGCAACCACUGCUCUGCUUUCUAGUCCUGAAACCAAAUUCACAGGAGAAUCUAAUAAAUGACCUCAAUGCUU